GCCGCUGAUCCUAACGGUGGGAAGCAGUCUUGAAAACUGUAGGUCUGAAAAUGGCUAGCAGGUUCGACUCCUGUCGGCGGCGCCA
rnacentral:tRNA from 1 species